AUGCCCCAGGUGCAGUUUGAUAAGAUUAAUGAUGAGGAUGUGGCCAUGUGCAUCUCCCAGGGCUGGUACCUCGCACCCAAUGUGACCUGGCUGGACCGGGCAGAAAGGGAUCUGAGCAACCACAGUACUGUGGAGGUCCUGGAGGAGCAGAUGAAUGGCUUCUACAGGGUUUUCUCCAUCCUGAAAUACCCUGUCAAGUUAAAUGAGAAAUAUAUCUGCCGCAUAACAGAGACAGAUGUGAACAACCAGCCCUUCAGAAUCAUACGCAAGUACCCAAGGAGAAGGUAUCCUCAUACCUCUGACUACCGUUAAGAGAUUUGAAUCACAUCCACCCAAGGACCAAACUGUCCUGCCUUUAGCCACUGGAGCUCCUGGUUUUCUCUUGAGGAUGAUAUUCUUUUCGUCCUAGGCACCUGUCUGUCACAAACAGAAAAAAGUAAGGAAAUAACAGGUCCAGUGUGUUAGAUGUUGACUAAGACUAUAGGAGCUCCCUUAUUUUGUCUCUCUUAGGUCUGUAUGUUAAAGUCUUGUUGUUUUUUUAAUCUCUAAUUCUCUGUUUUAUUUAUAAGAUUUACUUUUAUUUGAACUUCUGCCUUUCACAUGUUAAGUUCUCUGGGUAAAACUUAAAAAUCUUAACUGCAAAAUGAAAGACGAUUAAAAGCUGAUGAACUAUCCACUCUGUGUAUUUCACUGACGUGGUGCACUAUUGGGGAAUUCGAGGCAGAGCGUGUUUUCUCUAAACUAGAUUUUCUGUGUUUUGGUGAUCAUGUUACUUGGCACUUUGCUGAUACAAAGGAGAAUCUAAGAAAGAGACAUCUUCCUAAAACUGAUUAUGGAUGGGAAUUAUUAUAUUUCUAAAAGCCAUUGCUGGGCAUUACCAGGCAAAGACUAUGAAAAUCUUGGAAAUUCAAAGAUGAGACUAACUCUUGAACUCUUCUGAUUUGCUCAAGUGCUUUCAGAGUCUUUGUUAUUCCCAUACUCCACCUUACAAAUCUCUCCCAUCUCUAUGCUUUCUGUAUAGAUUCUCCUCCUUUGCUCCUUCUGGAAGUUGGGGGGAUGUCUUUCUUGGGAGCUGGGCCUUGUAGGAAUCAAGCUUAGGCUCUGGGAGAGAGGGGAAAAAGGCACAUAAGAGAAAAGAAAAGACAGACAGCUGUCCAGGAAGCAGAGAUUUUAAUUGGCCCCAAAUCCCAAUUUUUUGAAUCACUGGAUUCAGGUGAUGAAAUAAUUUCCAUGGAAAUAAGACAUAUGUCUGUUUCUAAAGCCUCCAUAGAGGAGGGCACAGAAAGAAGGCACACCAGGCAGGUUUGUACAGUUGUACAAAUUUGACAUCUGCAGUCUAGGAUAAGUUUUUACCAGGCCGAACCUUUGAGGUGUAUGCUGGAGGUUGCUGGGGGCCUCACACUGACUGACUGGCAUGACUCCUGGAUGUGUCAUCUCUGGGGAGACCAAGUUGGACUGGGGGUCACAUUUCUGGGAACUUCACAGGCCUGGUCUGAACUGCUUUCAAAUAUCUACUUAAAUGAAACCAAAGUGAGAGGACAUGCAGAGUUAUUAGAACUAAAUGAAGAAACCUAUGAAUUACUGACACAUGAUUGGCAAUGACAUAAUGGAGAACACUAAAUAGGAAUUAACACUUCAGAUUGAUGUGAUGAUCUUUCAAAUAAAGGGAAACAUUGUGACA
rnacentral:lncRNA from 1 species